rnacentral:rRNA from 1 species
ACGCUGGCGGCGUGCCUAAUACAUGCAAGUCGAACGGUCUUUUCUAUGGAAGCUUGCUUCCACUGAGAAGAUAGUGGCGGACGGGUGAGUAACACGUGGGUAACCUGCCCAUAAGAGGGGGAUAACAUCCGGAAACGGGUGCUAAUACCGCAUAGUUUUCUUGAUCGCAUGAUCGAGAAAGGAAAGACGGCCUUUGUGCUGUCGCUUAUGGAUGGACCCGCGGCGUAUUAGUUAGUUGGUGAGGUAAUAGCUCACCAAGACGAUGAUACGUAGCCGACCUGAGAGGGUGAUCGGCCACAUUGGGACUGAGACACGGCCCAAACUCCUACGGGAGGCAGCAGUAGGGAAUCUUCCGCAAUGGACGAAAGUCUGACGGAGCAACGCCGCGUGAGUGAAGAAGGUUUUCGGAUCGUAAAACUCUGUUGUCGGAGAAGAACAAGUUGGAGAGUAACUGCUCCAGCCUUGACGGUAUCUGACCAGAAAGCCACGGCUAACUACGUG